AGUGAAUGCUGGCGGUAGGCCUAACACAUGCAAGUCGAACGGCAGCACAGUAAGAGCUUGCUCUUACGGGUGGCGAGUGGCGGACGGGUGAGGAAUACAUCGGAAUCUACUUUUUCGUGGGGGAUAACGUAGGGAAACUUACGCUAAUACCGCAUACGACCUACGGGUGAAAGCAGGGGAUCUUCGGACCUUGCGCGAUUGAAUGAGCCGAUGUCGGAUUGGCUAGUUGGCGGGGUAAAGGCCCACCAAGGCGACGAUCCGUAGCUGGUCUGAGAGGAUGAUCAGCCACACUGGAACUGAGACACGGUCCAGACUCCUACGGGAGGCAGCAGUGGGGAAUAUUGGACAAUGGGCGCAAGCCUGAUCCAGCCAUACCGCGUGGGUGAAGAAGGCCUUCGGGUUGUAAAGCCCUUUUGUUGGGAAAGAAAAGCAGCAGGUUAAUACCCCGCUGUUCUGACGGUACCCAAAGAAUAAGCACCGGCUAACUUCGUG
rnacentral:rRNA from 1 species